rnacentral:lncRNA from 1 species
GAGAUUAACGAAAGCAGAAGGAGAAACAAGAUCCUAAGUAACAUUAAUCAGUAAGGCAUCAAAUUCUUCAACUAUGGUAACACGUCAACCUGCAUCCUGCAAAGCCUCAUAAAAAUAGGUAGGCUCAGUAGGAAGAGUAGAAUGGGCAGAAGCGAGUAAGAAAGUAGACCUUAUAGAAUCUUUAGUCAUGGAGCGAGUGAGCAUAGAAUAUAUGGGUUUGGGCAGGCAGUGGAGCCAUAUAAGAUGAAAGAGAGGAGACAGUAGCAGGCUGAGUAGUUAGAUGAUAAGAGGUGGAAGAUGGCACAUCAGUAGCGGAUGAAGGUGGUGUUAGAUGUAU